CUACGGGAGGCAGCAGUGAGGAAUAUUGGUCAAUGGACGCAAGUCUGAACCAGCCAUGCCGCGUGAAGGAUGAAGGCCUUCUGGGUUGUAAACUUCUUUUAUUGGGGAAGAAAAUUACGGUUUCUACUGUAACCGACGGUACCCAAGGAAUAAGCACCGGCUAACUCCGUGCCAGCAGCCGCGGUAAUACGGAGGGUGCAAGCGUUAUCCGGAUUCACUGGGUUUAAAGGGUGUGUAGGCGGGCAUUUAAGUCAGUGGUGAAAUCUCCCAGCUCAACUCGGAAACUGCCAUUGAUACUAUUUGUCUUGAAUAUCGUUGAGGUUGGCGGAAUAUAUCAUGUAGCGGUGAAAUGCUUAGAUAUGAUAUAGAACACCGAUUGCGAAGGCAGCUAACUAAGCGAUGAUUGACGCUGAGGCACGAAAGCGUGGGGAUCAAACAGGAUUAGAUACCCUGGUAGUCCACGCCCUAAACGAUGAUUACUCGACAUACGCGAUACACAGUGUGUGUCCGAGCGAAAGCAUUAAGUAAUCACCGGGCA
rnacentral:rRNA from 1 species